CUAGAACAGGGUGCAGCAGCAAUGGAUUCUGGGUAGACAAAACAACAGACGUUCUGCACAGAUCACCUUGGAAGCUGCUCUGACAUCCCGUCCUAGAGGAUCAAUCCAGGGAUGGCAGUGGACCCAGCCUGGGCCAACCAUGGUGCUCAGCUCUUCAUGCAAAACUCUUUCCUGCCCCCAGCUCAAAAUAAAGCAAAGGAGACCAUUACAAGCAUGACUAGAAGACAAUGUGAGUAUACUGAGCCCAGAUUUGAUCCCAUAAGUAAAUACGUGAGUACACAGGUGAAUAGCCAGACGCAGUGCAAGUCACACCAUGCAUUCAUGUAGGCAGAUACUGGACACACAGGUGAGAUUUCAUAGAGGAAGAAUGGCAUUCCAAGAGAGAGAACAGCUUGAGCAGAGAAUGAACCUGGCCAAGCCCUUGACAGUUUUAAAGAGUUUCCCCCAUUGUGACUGGAGUGUAGGGCACAUGACAGGGAGCAGCUGGGGAAGAGGCAAGAACCUGCUGGAGAGGAGCCUCACAUGGGUUGUGAAACUGUUCAGACUUCACUCUCAGGCAGUCAGGUGACCAGGCCAAUCAGGUGAGUGUGGGGAGAGCCCCAGAGCUAAUGCAAGUGCCUGGGGAGGCAGCAGGGGCUGUAUGUGAAGAUGUGCCAAACCGCUGGUGGAAGGCAGAUGUCCAGGAGGGGAGCCCAAGAGAGGAGGGAGGUGGGGAGUGGAGGUGCUAAAGACAGAGGAAAGCCAAGAGCCAGAAGUGGCAGUGCUGGCAAGUAGGACUCAAACAGAACGACUUCUGGAGCUUGGGUGAACUCUCACUGGCUCUGCCCAUCUCCUUGGAGGGAGCUCAAAGGACGCUCCCCGACCCAGGUCCACUUAAAAGGAUGUCCCUAGGUGAUAGGAAUUUUUCAGCCUUGUGAUGAUGUCAUGAGACCACUAUCACGUAUGCAGUCCGUCAUUGACCAGGACAUUGUUAUGUGGCACAUGACAUGUAUGGAAUACAUGCAUUGAAUCAUUUUUUACUAGCCACAUGGUAUAUUCCUAUGGAUUUCCCCCAACUUACUUAAUUAUUCCUCAAUAGAGGAAUAUGUAGAUUAUUUCUCAUUUUUCCUAUUACAAAUUAGGCUUUAGUAAGCAUCCUGGAACACAGGUAUGUGGAUGUAUGUCAUAAGCAAAGAUAUAUUUCUAAUAAUGAUCACAGGGCAUACAUGUUUUCAGUUUAGCAGAUAUUGCCUAAUUCUUCUCCAGAAAGGAUGUACCAAUUUAUAGUCCCAACAAAACUAUAGAAAGUGAAGUGCCUAUUUUCUUACCCACACUGGAUAUCGACAAUCUUCAAAAUCUGUCACUAUGCUAUUUCAUUUUUCUUUUAAUUUGUGUUCCUUUGAUUACUAGUGAGGUUGAUCAUCUUUUCAUCCAUUCAUCAGACACUUGUGUUUUUCCUUUUGCAAAUGGUCUGUACAAAUGAGAUUUAUCCAUUUUUCUAUCCUUUUUAUUGUUGAAUGCUAGCAGCCCUUCACAUAUUAUAGAAAUUCACACCUGUGUGCAUUCUCUGGCCCACCCUCAGUCUAUGUGAGUAUUUCUCUUCCUUACCCUUUUUUCCUUUCCUUCUUAUUUAGGAGUUUUAACCUUGUCACAUAAUCAUAUUUGCCAAUAAAUUCCUUCAUAAGAGCUGCGUUUCAUAUGACUUCAUGCUUGGAAAGGCUUUCCCAAUUUCAAGAUAAUAUUUCUUCUAAUACUUUAAUAGUUUCAUCUUUUGCAUGAAAGAAACUUUGAUCCAUCUGCAUUUGAUUUAUUUGGUGUUUGGAGUGUGGUAGGGAUACUAGGCUAGCUAGUUUUCCCCGUGCCAUCUGGUGAACUGCCAGUUUCUCACAAGUUUCAAAUGCCAACUUUUCUGUACACUAAAAUGUUAUAUAUUUCAGCCCCAUUUCCACAGAUAAGAAAACAAGCUCGAAGAGAUUAAGUAACUUGCUUGAGGCUACACAGUGAGCUAGUGACUAAGCCUAGAUUUGGAAACCAAGUCUAUGCUGCUCUCAGCACAACCUGCCAGACAAAGACAAACCAACGAGAUUCAGCGGCUGGCUGGAGAGAAAAAGAACAAGUUGCUUCAAAAGUCAAGCUGGCAAUCGCACCACUGGCAGUUGGGAAAGUUGAUCUUUUAAGCCAGCUUUAAGACAAAAGAUGCUUAGUACAGUGAUGACUACAGUUUGGGAUAUGUGGCGCCCAGGUAGGGGAGCACCCAGCUGGAAAUUUCAGAACCAGAGUUUGGGAGCAGAGAUAGCAUCAUGGGCCCUGCUGGGGAGUCAGGGGAAUCAGAGAGGGGGAGGUGUCAAGGACAACUGCCAGGUUUCUGGUUUAGCCAGCAUGAAGACAGUAGGUGCCACUUCAAGGCGACUCAGAGGAGAAGCAGGUUGGGGGUGGGGGGCAUGGGCUGGAGAGUUCACUUUAGACCUGUCAGGUUGGAGGUGUUUGCUGAGCCUCCCAGUACGCAGUUAGAUGCACAGGCCUGGAGGUCAGCCUAAGCUCUUUCCUAAGGGAGAUAGAGUGUUGUGGUGAAAGAAGGGCAGGCCAAAAGGGACAUGGGACUCACCCCAUUUGAAAUGGAGAAAGGACCAUCCAUUGCUCAGGGAUAGAGCAGGGACACUGAAAGUCCUUAUGAAUGCUGGUGCCAAGAAGUAAGGAAUGUUAGGCCAAGCAAGGAAAUCUAUAAGCUGACCCAAAGUGACCAUCUAUAAAUGGUGAGUACACAUAUGAUUGCCCUACCUAACCCUAACCUUUGUUGGAAAGCUUUGUUGUCACACUCCUGGAGGCCAGGGGAGUUCAUUGUGCUGUCCUAAGGAGAAGGGGCUGGGUAAAGAGAGCCACAUGGCCUGCCCUCUCCUUGUAAGAGGCAAUCUCAGAUCACGUGUGACAUUGUGGUGGUAAAGACCCAGUUCAUAGGACCCAGAAAAGAAAGCUCCUGCUAAGUCUGGGAGUAAUAAAGUGUCUCUCCCUGAAGGCUGAUCUGGAUGGAUGGGUAGAAGUUGAAGGUCUCUAAGCAAGAUUAGUUGGGUAGGGAGAGGGCAGCCUGGAAACUCAGACAGAAUUUAGACCUGGUAGGGGCAGGAAACGGGACCCAUGAAGGUUUUUGAGCAAGGGAAUGACACUGAGAAGGUGGCAUUUGAGAAAGAAUUGUCUGGCUGGCGAAGUGAGACAAGGUGGGAGAGCCUGGAAGGUCCAGACGUGGCUUUGGGGGAAUGUUUGGCAGGUGCUUGGUGUAGUAUAGACACAGAGACAAAGAGAACUAGAACAGAAAUCUGUGAGGAGGAUCAAGACUUCCUGGGAGAGCUGGGUUUUGAAGAAUAAACACAAAUUUGCCAGUUGAGUCUUCUCCUACAUAGAAAUGCCUUUAUCUUUAGAAAUACAUAUUAAAAGGUCAAACAAUACAAAAGGUUACGUAGUAAAAGUAAAUCUCCAGUAUGACAGUGUUCCCUACCCCAAAGGCAGUCACUGUCCGUUGCUUCCAGCACAGAGUAGUCAGAGGCUUUGGUACUAACCUGCCCAGCCUGAAAUCUCAGCUCCAUCUCUUGCGAGUUUGGCAAGUAGCCUAACUUCUCUGUGCCUCAGUUUCCUCCUCCAAAUAAAGAGAAUGAUGAUUAUAGACCCUACAUCCAGAGCUGUUGAAAGAAUUAAAUGAAUUAAAGUAUGUGGAAGGUUCAGCGCAGUGCCUGGAGCAGAGUGGACACCCCGCGCACGCCUGUUACCCUCUGAGUGUUGAGCGUGUAUGUGUGUAAGCAGUUGGCGUGGAUGAGGAUGGAGUAAUAAUGCACACAGCAUGCUGGGAAUGUCAUUCAGCCAAGAAAAAAGCGUUCAAAAAUUCUAAUUGUCAUUGGUGUCAGUGUGGCAGAGUAGCCAGUCUCUAUCCUAGGAUGAUACUUAGCAGGUGUCCUCAAACUUUUUAAACAGGGGGCCAGUUCACUGUCCCUCAGACCGUUGGAGGGCCAGACUAGAGUUUAAAAAAAAAACUAUGAACAAAUUCCUACGCACACUGCACAUAUCUUAUUUUGAAGUAAAAAAAAAAACGGGAACAAAUACAAUCACACCACCGCAUGUGGCCCGUGGGCCAUAGUUUGAGGACCCCAGAGGUGUUGAACGAAUGAACGGGUGAAUCUCUCACCUUAUAGUCAUAGGUCGACUACAUCACUUCUAGACUUCUUGUUCUGAUUUUUUUUUUUUAAGUGCAAAAGUAAGAAGAGAAGGAUUUCUCUUUGUGCUAGAAUAUCUUUGGUAACUCCACCAUGAGCCCUUAUGCACAUCCCCUUUUCCCUGGAAACUGAACGCUUUGGAAAUAUAGAUCCCAGAAUUCCUUGCUAGCAGGGACCUGGUUAGAUCUCACCAAUGAGAGGUACUUUUGCAAGAUUUGGAAGCAAGAAGAGCAAAUGUGAGAUUUUUUGCAGUGGCUUCUAGUUCACUUGACAAUCACCUGAUUUUGUCUGCAGACAGCUGUGAUCUCCACUGCACCCUCUGUGGUUUCUGUAGCUUCCUGACUCCUGAAAGUCAGCAGCUGUCCUGAGAGCUACCACUAGUUUUCCUUUACUUUUGUUCCACCACCCUCUCAGCAGCUUUAAUUCCCUCUAAAACAGAUGUUUUAAGAAAGAUAAUAAUAAAAAUAAUCACUUUUAUAGCACUUUAAUAGUAUUCCAGGCAUUUUUCCAAACACUUUCUGUACAUUAAGCCACAUAAUCCUCACAUAAUUAUACGUAGGAUUAUCAUCACUCCCAUUUUCAGGGUGAGAACACUGAGGCACGAAGUUGCCCAAGGUCACACAGGUUUAAGUGAGAGACCUGAGAUUUGAACUCAGACAAUCUGGUUUUGAACUCAGACAAUCUGGGUGUGAGAUCAUGCCCAGAACAUAACUUCGAGGUGGCUUUUGUCACUAUAUAGUCUGUCAAUUCCCCUUCCUGCUUGAAAUACCUAGUAUGAGAUCUGUUUUACUGACUGGACCAUAAUUAAACUCUUUUUAUCAGGAAAGGAAAAUCUUCCCAGAACUCCACCUCAGGCUUUUACUCAUGUCUAGAGUGAAAGCUAGGUAGGUCACUUGCCUACCACAAACCCCAGCCAAUUGGCACAUAUAAAUGGGAUUACCAUAACAGGCGUAAGCUAUCCAUGACUCAUCCCCUGGAGCUGAGCAUAGUGCUGCCUCAUACCUGAACAAAGACAAGGAAAAUGACUGCUGUUUCUGCUACCCAGUGAUUUGGAGACUCCAGUCUAGUUUGGAUGGUCCUGAUAAGGAGAGUUGCACUGGAGUGGGGUUUGUCUUUUGGGCCUGGCUGAUGGUAAUAAUGAAUACCUAAGAAAAUGGCUUGAUGCUUGGGGUGAAAAGACAUUAGAAAAAAAAAUCAAUGUGUCUGUAUUGAUUUGAAGUGAGCAUUUGUAUUUUCUUCCCUGCAAGACUAGGCAUUCUUGGGACAUAUAAAAAGAUAGAAGUGCAGCAAAGUAAAGCAGGAACUAGAAAUUCUUUGUACAUUAUCGAGUGGACAAAAUAUUUCUCUCACAGAUGUUUUAAUAAAGAUAAUAAAAAUAAUCACUUUUAUAGCACUUUAAUAGUAUUCCAGGCAUUUUUCCAAAUGCUUUCUGUACAUUAAGCCACAUAAUCCUCACAUAAUUAUACGUAGGAUUUAUCAUCACUCCUAUUUUCAGGGUGAGAACACCGAGGCACAAAGUUGCCCAAGGUCACACGAGUUUAAGUGAGAGACCUGAGAUUUGAAUUCAGAAAAUCUGGAUAUGAAAAUAAAAAGACAAAAAAGAAAAGAAAAGAAAAGAAAAUCUGGAUGUGAGAUCAUGCCCAGAACAUAACUUUGAGGUGG